UACGGAGGGUGCAAGCGUUGUCCGGAAUCACUGGGCGUAAAGGGCGCGUAGGCGGCUCGGUAAGUAGGGGGUGAAAUCCUGGAGCUUAACUCCGAAACUGCAUUCGAUACUGCCGUGCUUGAGGACUGGAGAGGAGACUGGAAUUUACGGUGUAGCGGUGAAAUGCGUAGAUAUCGUAAGGAAGACCAGUGGCGAAGGCGGGUCUCUGGACAGUUCCUGACGCUGAGGCACGAAGGCCAGGGGAGCAAACGGG
rnacentral:rRNA from 1 species